rnacentral:tRNA from 1 species
GGUAUAGCCAAGUGGUAAGGCAGUAGACUUUGACUCUAUUAUGCCCUGGUUCGAAUCCAGGUA